CAGAUGGUGCGCCCUCAAUGAUCGGGGGAAAGCAGGAGUUGUGACACAGUUCAGAAAAGAAGUGCAGACUGCAAAUGGAGGAUGUGAUUUUGGGACUUCUCCCUGCACUUUGCAUCAGGAGGCUUUGUGUUGCAAGUCAUUAACGAUGGAAAACGUCAUGAAGGUGGUCGUCCAGACUGUUGAUGUCAUCCGAUCCAGAGGCCUGAAUCACCGCCAGGUUGACUUCCUUCUCAGAGAGAAAGACCACAGCUAUGGGCUGCCGUCCCACACCGAGGUACGAUGGUGAGGCCGAGCUGCUGUGCUGAGGCGUGUCUUUGAAUUACGAGAGGAAAUUGAACAGUUCAUGGAAAAAAAGGGCAAACCAGUUUUAGAAUUUCAGUCCAAAGAACGGAUGCAGGACCUUGCAUUCGUGGUGGAUGUUGCAGAGCACCUGAAUAACUUGAACACAAUGAGUACAGCUCAUGAGCUUCCAGAAGGCCAAAGACCUCAAGAAAUACACCCAGUAUGUCAAACUAGCGAUAUGAUUGGUUGAAGAUGAUGUCAAUCAACAAUAAGGUCCCCAUGAUUUUUUACAUUUUUAAAUGUAUUUAUUAUAGAAAAGCUCAGAUCGGCUUCAGAGAAGGCUUAGAAGGCCCGGACGGCCCGCCACUGACAGAAGUACAAUAGAUGUCGUGUGACCAGAAGUACAAUAGAUCCCCAGAUAAUUGAUCUCUGAGUAAAAUAACUUGAGUUUACCAUCAGGAAGUUUCAUGUGAUCCAUGUUUGAUGUCUUUAGGACAUGUUCUUGAUCCGUCCAUCCUGGAGACGGAUCCUCCUCUGUUGCUCUCCUGAAGGAUUCUUCCCUUUUUUCAUCAGUUUUCUUCAGUUUUUCAAGGUCAAAGGUCAGGGAUGUCGUAUGUGUACAGGUUGUAAAGCCCUCUGAAGCAAAGUGGUGAUUUGUGAUUUUGGGCAGUAUCAAACAAACUGAAUUCAGUUCCUGAUCCUUCUCAGUGAAAUGUGCAGAGCUGCAGCUCAUCAGAGGAACUGAGUCAUGGUCUUCUUCUCCGGGAGAGAAGAGGAUCAGAGGCUGGAGCUGGUGGACAGUCACAGAUACAACAGCAGCUGUUUGUGAACGUGUGAGAGCAGAAGGGAAUUCUGGGAGUGCUGAACGAGAACAAACACGUCCAUUAUCAUUCACUUCUGACUCCACCGGUUGGACUGGUUGUGACGUCAAGAGAUGAGGGGCGUGACCGCACGCAUCCUCAGUUCAAAUGCACACACACACACACACACACACACACCAGGACUGAGGGGAAGACAUGAGCAGCUUCUUCUCUCCAGAGGUUCCUCCACACAGAAGGUGAACGUGUCCGUAAACUGACCUGAGGUCAGUUCAGCAGUGUGUGUGUCCUGUGACGUGAGUGUUGUGCAGCAGGUGUGUGUGUGAAGGUGUGGACUCUGCUAUGCAUCAGUGGGAGGACAGAGAGGAGGGAGUCCCUCCCUCUAAAACCUCUCUGUGUGGGGAACAUGACAGCCAGACCAAAGCUCAGAGACCAGACUCACCGGGACCUGGACCUGGACCGGGACCCAGCUGUGUGUCCAUGAAGAGUAACAUGUCUAUGGCAACCGCGAUAGAU